CAUUUAAACUCUCCUUUCGAAACGGAGGCGCUAGUGCUCGGGAGCGGAGGUGGGAGGGGGGGUUGGGUGGGUGUAAGAAGGCGUUGUACCUUAAUUGAUUCUUCAGAAAAGUCCGCGUGCUUUUGCUGUACGAAGUGGAACGCGUAGAACGCGGUGGCGGUUACGAGCGUUAACCCGCGGGGGGGUUACCGUUCUGGUUCGACAGUGGCAAGGGACGUUAAUUUCGUUUAAGUCUCACAGUACCUAGUGUUUUGUUUUUCUAACCAGCG